CAACUUUCAACAAUGGAUCUCUUGGUUCUGGCAUCGAUGAAGAACGCAGCGAAAUGCGAUAAGUAGUGUGAAUUGCAGAAUUCAGUGAAUCAUCGAAUCUUUGAACGCACAUUGCGCCCCUCGGUAUUCCGUGGGGCAUGCCUGUUCGAGCGUCAUUUA
rnacentral:rRNA from 1 species